rnacentral:rRNA from 1 species
GACGAACCGUGCGAACGUUGUUCGGAAUCACUGGGCUUAAAGGGCGCGUAGGCGGGUGACCAAGUCAGGGGUGAAAUCUUUCGGCUUAACCGGAAAAUAGCCUCUGAUACUGGUUGUCUUGAGGGAGGUAGGGGUCUGUGGAACUUCUGGUGGAGCGGUGAAAUGCGUAGAUAUCAGAAGGAACGCCGGUGGCGAAAGCGACGGACUGGACCUCAUCUGACGCUGAGGCGCGAAAGCUAGGGGAGCAAACGGG